GAUGCCUUAUCUAUACUCUGCAACGUCACAACUACCCACUUUGGCACCGUAGGCGACUUGAUCUCUAUAUAUCAUGCCAAAUCAGAAGCAAGAACUCGCUCAAGUACUUAUUUUUUAAUAUAGUGCACUCGAAGCUAGCAAAGAUCUUUUCUGACUUGAAGAAUAUGAAAACUCUUGCUGGCGCAGGUAUUUAGGCCUACUUCAGUUUCUUUUUUGAGAAGGGCCAACUUCAGUUGAAUAUCAUUUAUAAUUCUUUUUUUAAUAUAUGCAUUUAUGAAUAUAUUUUUCAAUAUAAAAUUUUUAGGUAUGAGCGAUCCGUCAGAAGGUUUGGUACUCCCUUCUAGUAUUGCUGAUGAUGAUGUUGGAAAUGACAAUCUUGAUCUUAUUGUUAUUCCUCAAUAUGGGAGAAAUCCUGAUUAUUAUGGGUAAGUGUCUGCAAUCUGGAUGAUGAUAUAUGUAAUUAAAUAAAAGGAUGGGUACAGUUAUUACCUAUCAAUCAUAAGAGUGUCAAUUUAGUUCAGUUCACUAAUAAAAAUCUCUUAUACAAGAGAUUAUCUUUGUUUGCGUUCAUGUACUUUGUCUUCUUUAAUUAAUAAAUAAAAUUAUUGUGUAUCAAUGUGUUGAUUAAAUUAGUCCAUUAAUAGAUAUAAAAUCAUUUGAAUUUGUCCACAUAUUAGUUUAGUUAAUUGUGCUCUCUUUCUUCUUGAAUAUUUGUCAAACAAAGUCUACCUAUUAGUUAGCUAAUAAUCGCAGCUCGCAGGGAACCAAGAUCUUUAUAAUUAAUUACGAACGUUUAUGCUUCUUAAAUGGCUUGUGUCAUCGUGAUAAUGCCAUUACAACCUGUUAUAUAUAUAUAUAUAUAUAUAUAUAUUCAAAAGCAUUCCAACUCUAUGAACCUUCUAUUACACAAUUUUCAAAUGGUAUAAACAUCUAUUUUAAUUAGAGUAAAAUGUUGCUUGUUAGAAUGGCCCGUGAGUCAAUCUAAUUUGCGCUGGGACAAAUUAAUAGAACUUUAAAACUUUUCGACGGGUUUUGAUAAGACUUUAACUUGUCAAACCGUGGGUUGCUGUACGACGGGACUUGAAAAAAAACAUGUUGAGUUCUUUAUAAUUAAUGUUUAAAAUAUUUCAUUAAUUUUAGAGAAUAUUAAAAUAAAAAAUAAGUAAAUUCACGUUGAUCGAGAAAAAUACUGAAAUAUCGAUGCGUGUUUAGGACGAUAUAGAGGAUCUAUUUGAUCACAUUUAAUUCGCAUGCAACAGUAAUUCUGUCACAUUCUAUCACAGAUUCACGAAAGCUUCUCAUCAAAGUAUAGAAACAGAAAACUGUAAAAUUUAACGGGGGAAAACCUAUUAAACAAGAAAACAAAGCAGCCCCUCCGUACUGUGAAAUUACUUGCAAGCCAGUUGCGGUUGAGUUUGGGAAUGAGGGGCUGAGUUUGAGAUAAAUGGAGGGGAGAUAAGUUUGACUAAAAGGGGAUUCACAGGAAGACUUUAAGGGAGAAGAGACGAGUUUGAGAAAAAUUAGGAUAGAGAUUUAGAGGAGAUGAUUUGGGGUCUCAAAUUAACUAAUCCAUUCUUACAAUCACACAAACCGAUGGAAACCCAUUCAGAUUUUGAAAUAAUGAUGGUGACAUUAGUAGCUUAAGCCAAAACAUAAUUUAAAAAUAACAUAUAUAUAUAUAUAUAUAUAUAUAUAUAUAUAUAUAUAUAGUCAUUCUCUAGUGUAGGUAUCUUCAUUUAUUUUUCAUGCGAACACAUUUUAAAACCGCGGAGUUUAAGAGAGUUAGUUUUUAACUCUUUAAAACCGCAUAGUUUAAAAGUUUAUCCGUAUUAAAAAAAAUACGGGCGUCCGCACCUGAGAAUGAUUUUAUAUACACACACGUAUAAAGUAAUUUUUUAAUUGUGAAUUAUCAACCAUAUUAAAGUCAAGAGAAAGUUUAUAAAAAAAACCACCGACGCUAAUACAACGUAUUUUGUUGUGUAAUGUUUUGAAAUAUUCCUGCAAAUAAAUGGAUACUGAAAAUGAUCAUAUUAUUUUUAGUGAUUAAUGAUUCUUAUCGAGUAGAUUCCUGAUCUAUGAAAUGACUUACAUGAGCAUAUUCACCCUUUGGGAGUGGGAAACAAGUAAAAUUAUGUGUGCUAGAGGAGCCAAUAUCGAAGAGUUUAAGUCUAUGCUUCUCGUAAUCAAUUUCCAUAUCAAAACAAAAUGGAGUUGAUGAUAAUCUUGAUUUUACUAAAAAAAAAAAGGAAUAAUAGAUGUCUCAUUAGAAAAUAUUAAUGUGCCAUAUAUAUAAUAGUUCAAUCAUGUAAAAAUACUUGAAAAAUUAAUCUUGAGAAUGCAAAAUAAGAACUAUAGCAAGCACCUCUACAGGCAUAAAUUAAAAGAAUUGCAACGUGUACAUGAAGACUGCUAGACAUAGAAAAAAGUGAUAAAAAAAAAAACUGAUAUAUGAUAAAGAGCAUAAUAGAGAUAGUUGUUAUUAGGGAUGGUAAAAUUCUCCAUGGGUUGGGGUUCUCUAGGGCUCCAUGAUACAAACUCUUAAAAUAAUUAAAAUUAUUUAUUUUAUUUUAUGGUAUUAGUUAAUUUUGAACUAGUCAAAAGUAGUUGCACUUAUUUUGUGGAAUUACAUGUAAGUAAUGGAGCAUUAUGUGAAAACAAGCCCAAUGUUACUAAUUUUUAGGUUGUAAUCUUAAAUAAGCUUUAUUAUAUAAAGCUUGAUGUUAGUCAAUGAAAAGUAUCAUGAGUUAAUUAUUUGGCAACAUAAAAGUUGUAAUUGGGAGUUUAUUGGUUUCUCGAAUAACUAGUAUUUAUUUGGAGAUUUGGGUUUCUUCAAAUUAAUCCCAUUUGUCAUCUAAUUUUUUCUGUUUCAUUUGAUUUCUCCUUAUAAACAGUAGCAUUCGUAUCAUUCCACCCCAAAUGGGGUGAAUUUUGAAUAAUUUUUGGAGAAUGAGGUGGGGAAUUAGAGAAAAAUAAUCUCCAAAUUCUUAAUAAUAUGGGGUUUGAUUUUGUACUUCCCACUCCACAGUCCACACCCACUCCAGUCCCCAUUACAUAUAAAUAUUUUUUAAUUUUUAUUUAAUAAAUUUUUUAUCAAUUACAAUGUCAAUUAAUAAUUUUUUUUAUUUUCACUUGAUAUAAAUGAGUUAUGACUAAAAGAAAACCCUAUAAUAUAAUUUUUAUUCAACCCUAAAACAUUGUUAUAUUUUCUUUUCUAUCUUAAAAUACCACUCUCUUCAAACAUUUUUCAAUUUUGAUAUUAUUUUAAGAUAUUGUUUCAGACAUUUGGAGAUUUUUUUAAAUAAUUUGAAUACUUCAUAAUAUAGUAAUGAUUUUAUUGAACUCUUUAAUUUUUAAUUUAUUGAAAUCAUAUAUCUAUAUCUACUAUAAAAUAAAAAUAAAUGGGGAAUGAGGAGGGAUGGGGAUGGGGAUGAGGAAAUCAUUUCUCAUGUGGGGAUUCCUUAUACCCACCCCACUAAAUUCAUUGAGAAAUGAAGUGGGAAUUAGAGGCAAAAUUUUUAACACGGUGGGGAAUGGGAUAGCCUUCCUACCCCCACCCCACCCCAUUGCCAUCUCUAGUUGUUAGAUGGUGGAUAAUUUUACAUAAAUUAAUUGUAUUAAACUUAUUAUCCGAAUAAAAUUGUUUUAAAUAAAAUUUUAAUAAAUGAAAUUUUGGAAAUAUGUAAUAUUAUUUUUAAUAAUAGUGAUACACAAACUCGUCAAAAUUAAUUUGUCAAUCAUCUGUAAAUUUUACCAACUCUAUAGUUCAAUUAACAUUUUUCUAAACCUCAUUUUAUAUUUAUCGCUUUUGAAGAUUAAAAUAUCAUGAUUUAUUAUGUCCAUAUAAGUAAUUUGAUAACCUCAUUUCAGUAUAUCAGAAUAUCAAGAUUUAUUAGGUCUUUACUUGCGCUUUUGGCUGCAAGAGCCUUCGCCAAUUGAUCAUUUUAUGGGGUUUGACAUAGCCACAAAAUUAAGAUAAAGGUUCAAAGACAGUAUUACAGGUUCAUCCACCAUAAAACAAAUGAUAUUUUGAAAAGAAAAUUAAGACCCUAUUAGUUAAUUUGUCUCGUAAUUAAUUAUUGUCGACAAGCCAUCACAAACUUUCUUCAAUUAUUCCUACUUUUCUAAAAAAAUCUUUAAUGAUAAAAUUAUUUGCACUCUAAAAAUUAUUCUUUAACAUUAUUUUAAUAAAUUAUUUUAUGAGUGAUGAUACAGCCACAAACUCUUGUACAAACUUAUUUCGUACAAACUGAUGUGGCAUCAAUUCAUUGGUUGAAUGAAAAUACAAAAUAAUGAAAAUAAAUCAUGUGGGCCAAGAGAUAUUUAAUUUAACCAAUUUUAUCAUGCCACAUCAGUUUGUACAAAAUAAGUUUGUACAAGAAUUUGUGGCUAUAUCAUUACUCUUAUUUUAUUACAAAAAUACUCAUCAUAUGAAUUAUUGACAAGGAUUCUCUCUUAUAGGCUAAUAUAAUAUAAUUAUUCUGAAUACUCAUAUGGCAUACUCACUAUUCAAUAUAUAAUUUCUCUUGUCAUAAAUCCUAAAAAUCUUAUUUUCAAUCUCUUGAAUAAUGUUUAAUUAAACAAGGAGCAAAUCAAUACUAAAAAUACAUUUUGAACAUAUUUUUGCUUGUUAAUUUUUUUUAAAAAGUAGUUUUUUUAAAUAAGCAUUUAAUUCAGAAGAUGCAUGCUUGGAGUUAUGAUUUUGGAUGUAGAGAAGAUUUGAUCGGAAACGAGAAAUGGCGGCAGCAAGCUUAUUGAAUCGUCGUUCUGCGAAGAAGAGUUUGCUUUUUGCUGUUUCUAGUGGAAUGUCACUUAAUAAUCAAAACAGGCUUCUUCUUCUUUCUUUUUUAAAACCUAUAGCUUUAUGGUUUAUGCUUAGUAACAAAAAAAGAGUCAAAUAUCAGUGGUCUCUAUAACUAACAGUGAGCAAGAUUCGAUUUUGAAAAAUCUUGUACCAAUUUGCUUUUGUGCUAUUUUAUAUUCAAUUGACGAAAGAAUUAAUGCUGUAACUGCUACCCUUGUGUCGAUGACUACAUUAAUAAUGCCCCCAAAUUAAAGCCCACAUAAAAUUAAAUAGUAUACUCUAGCAAAUUAAAUUAAGUCAUAUUGUAAGGUAUCAAGAAUUAAAUAUUCUAUUAGCAAAGUCAAAACGUGAAAUCUAUCCAAACCAAGCCCACCGGUUUGUCCAUGAAAAUUAAUUAUUUCUUCAUUAUUAUCGAAUUAAUAUCUUCACUUGAUAACAUGGUUUACGAGGUAGGUCGCACAUUAAUUAUAUGAUUACUUCAUAGUUAUCCAAUAUCUUCGUACACCUUUUAUGACUAACCUAUUGGUCUAUCCAAAUUAAUAGUCACUUAAUUUAUUGUGGUCCAAUAUCAUCACUUGAUAAGAUUAAAGCAUAUAUACCCACAGCCCCCUAUAUGCCUCUUAAUUAUAUAUCAUGACUUUGUCCAGCAAGAGAGAAAGAGAGAAAGGGUAGGACUCUUUUCGAGCUUUUACAAAUCUACGGUAGAAUAAGAUGAUUUAAGUAAAAAUAAUUUAAAAAAAAAAAACCAAAUACCAAAAUUAACUUUCAAAAUUUUAAAAUUAUUUUCUGCCAUCUCAAAAACAGUGUCAAAUGAAACCUUUUAUCCAACUAAAAAAAAAUAGUGAAAAGUAGUGGGAAUUUUAUUAACCGCACAAAUCAUAAGUCAAAAAAUAUGAACAAAAUAGUUUGUUCUUCGGAACUCUAAUAAAUUGGAGGCAUGUGCUGCCCGAAACCAAAUGAUGCAUCAAGAUUUGUUCUUUGAAAAAUAAAUUAAUUUGUUAGUAGAUAGUUGCGUGUUUUACUUUCAAAAAAGGCUAAAAUAAUUUCAGGCCUUGGAUGCAUCUAACGGCUGAAAUCAUAAUAUCAAGAUUUAUUCUUAAGUCUUUGUUUGAUAUCAAGAUUUUUGAUUCAACCGCACAAUUAAGUUAAAGUUUCGUAUGCAGACUAUUAGGGAUUCAUCCAGGUAUGCAACAAACAGAUGAAAUGAUAUUUUGAAAAGAAAAUUAAUUUGUCUUGUAAUUAAUUAUUGCCGGCAAACUUUAUCUCAAAUCGCACACUUCUUUUCAAAUAUUAUCUACUUUUCUAGACUCUACGAUUACUGUCUACAUUUUUCAAUGAAUUAUUGCUCGGUAACUAGUUUUUUUACAAUCAUUUUUUUCGCGGACCAGAUCGUGUUUCGCACUAAUUGCAAUCAUUUAACCAUAUAUGGCCGUUAAUCGUACCCAGCCAUUGCGCGAAAAAACAUCAGCCGUUGAUCGUUUAUCUGUACAAUUUUUUAAUAUUUAUAAUAUUUUACUUAUAAAUCAUGAUUUUCCUUAAAGUUGUGGAUUCCUCCACUGAAUAGAAAUGGUUGUGAUUUAUUUGUCAAUUCAAAAGUUCCAACAGUAUUUCAAUGUUGUGCAUUUUCAGCUAAUUAGUCAAAGAUAAUCUAGUGCAUCUUCAGAAUUUUUAUCCCUAAAUUUACCAUUACACAUUAUUUCAACAACCUAUCUACUUUAGGGUAUCAAGCUCUUGUAGAAAUAAAUGACCAAUCACCAAGUUUCAAAACCAUGGUGUGGACAUAUGUUAAGCAAUUCUUUAAACCCAUCCCAACAUUGGUAUAAUGUUUCUCCAUUUUUUUUAGUGAAAUAAGUGAUUUGCCUUUUAAAAGAAUUGGUUCUAUGAGGUGGAAAGAAUUUUUUCAAAAAUUAUUCUUACAUGUUAUUCGAAGUUCUUAUUGAUUCAGAUCUAAAGUUUUAUAGCCAAGUUUUAGCUUUAUUUUUUAAUGAAAAAAGAAAAAGUUUCAACCUAACUAUGUUCAUGCUACAAUUUUGGUUUAUAUAUGUAUUACAAACUUCCUCAAAGAUGCAAGUAUGGAUUCUCAGAUUCUAAACCAUGAAAUGUUGGUAAAAGUUGGAUAAUACAUGGUUUAAAGUUGAAUCGAGAAGCCUCUGGAGGUAGGGGUGGCAAAUAUACCCGCCCAGUCUGGAUCCGGACCGUACUCGGGCGUUUUGGGCAUCACUUGAUAAACCCAGAACCCGGAUUUUAUUUCAAAAAAUUAUUAGAAAAUAUAUAUUAUUUUAAAUAUUUAUAUUUAUUUGACUCAUUUAUUACACAUAUAUAAAGUUUUAAACACUUAAAGUUCAUAAUUUCAUGUCAAAUUUUAUUAAAAAUAAAUUUAAAACUUAUAAAAUUACCAAAAAAAUACACAUAUAAUAUUAAAAAAAUAUAAAAUUCGGGUACCCGGAUUAAAGCCCAGCACAACCCGGCCCGGGCAUCUAUGCAUCCGGGUCGGGUCCGGUCAUUGCGAUACCCGGACCCGGGCCAGGGUUUUGCCAACCCUAUCUGGAGGAAAUACUAUACAGCUCCGAUUCUAGUUGGAUUCAUGUAGUCUCUCAAGAUUCUUCGUCGAUUCUGAUCACGUCCAGGUUGAGACUGAUUGUCUCCCUGAUAAAUUUGAGGAUUAGGUUCGCCCAAAAGUUUUUCAUCUUGGAUUUCGUCCAUAAUUAGUGAUGGAGAUUGAGAUCUACGAAUUAACCUGCCACCUGAAGUUCGAGACCAAUGUGUCAUGAAAUGGUUAUAUCACAAAGGUAAUAUUCAAAUAAAUUAGUAACAAAAGAACUAAAUGAAAAUUGCACAAAACAAAAAUAAAAAUUAAAUAUGCAAAUAAUAAGAGGAUGAAUACCCCGAAAUCUGGGUUGUGACUUUUGAUCAUUGUCGCAGCAUGAAGUUUGUUGUGACCUCUAGUUCACAUGCACUCUGUUUUUGUAGUUGCCGCAUGUCAAUGUUAUUGUAGUUCCCUUUUUAGGCUAUAUCUUGUCUAGUUGUCUUUGUGCUCGAAAGUGUGAACUUAGUCAGCGUCGAUAAAUGGAGUGCUUUUGCAUGUUACUUUUUAAUGAAUGGUGGAAACAAUAAUUCAUAAGCAUCUUAGCAUAACAUUUUCGCUCAAUUAAUGCAUAUCAAUAGCGGUUUACUCAUGCUCUGUAUGUGACGCAUUUCUAGGAAGCUUAUAUAUGGAGUUCAUUCGUUUCUGAGGUAUGCUAGAUUUGCAUGGGAAAAAUGAUAAUUUUGACCUGUUUAUUGUCCCUCAAUAUGGGAGAAAUCCUGACCAUACUGGUUAGGUACAUGUAAUAUUUGUUUAUUGCCCUUUAAUAUGGGAGAAAUCCUGACCAUACUGGUUAGGUACAUGCAAUAUUAAUCUUUCGUUUUAUGUUUAAUUAAAUAAAAGGAUAGGUAAUGUUAUUACUUAUGAAUCAUGUCAGUGCCAUUUUGGUUCAGUUCAACUAUUAAUAUCUCUUAGAAUGUUAAAGAAAUUAUCACUGUUAGUGUCCAUGUACUUCGUCUUUUUUAAUAAAUAAAAUUAUCACGUGUCAAUGUGUUAUUUGUUUUGAUCUUUCAACAAAAUUCAGUUUAAUUAAUUAUGCCCUCUUUCAUCACGAAUGUGUGUGUGUAUAUAUUUGAAAAAACUAAAACAAUGAGGGGCACUAUAACUUUUUAUUUGCCAAACAUGGGAUUGUGUAAAAUUAAUACAAUGAGAGGCUUUAAUACAACAACCAAACAAGCUCUUAAGGGAAAAGGACACACACCCCCAUGCCUAAUAUUUAAUAAAGCGACAGAUAUAUUUGUUAAUUUAUAAAGUUUAUUAACUAAUAAAUGCCAAAUAUACUAAUUUUUAUUGUAGUAUAAGCCCAAGUUCAUGGUAGAGAAAACAGGCCUAGGCCCUUUGUAGGAUUGUCCAAGUUGGAACAGGUCGAACUUAAGACUUUUUUAACAAUUCAAUAAAAUAAAACAAUAGCUAAAAGGUAAAAACAACUUAAGUUAAAGAGGAUUUUAUUAAUUUUUUCUCUGUUCAACUAAUUAUACAACAAUAUUUAUUUAAAAAAAAUUGAAAUAGCCUCCAACAAAAAAAAUGAAUUUUACAAAAAUUUACAGCCUACAAAAUGUAGGUUCAAUUGUUCAACAUAGCAUUACUAUAACAAUAAUAAUAAUAAAAGACAUAAUUAGCAUCAGAUUCCAAAUCCAAUAAUCCAAUUUCCAUAAACACUAUCACACUAACAUUUUUUUUCUUUCUUAUUUUUCCAUUCCAUUUUUUUCAAACUUAAUUCGUAAAUUAAAUUUAAUUAUUUAAAGAAAGAAUACGUUUGAGAUUUGAUGCACAAAACAUAUAUAAAUUAUUCAUAAUUUCAAUAUUAGGAAAUAAAUGUUUAGGGGGAUUGAAUUGAUGUCCAAAAUUCAAAUGGCCUAAAUAUGACCCCUUUAUAUAUAUAUAUAUAUAUAUACAGUUAUAGAAUAAUUUUUCAAUGCUGAAUCAUUGACUAUAAAGUCAAGACAAGGUAAAAAAAAAAAAUCAACGUUAAUACAACGUAUAUUGUCGUAUAAUGUUUUGAAAAAUUCCUACAAAUAUAUGGAAACUGAAAAUGACCAUAUUAUUUCUGGCGAUUAAUGAUUCUUGUGGAGUAGAUCCCUGAUCUAUGAAAUGACUUACAUGAGCAUAUUCACCCUUUGGGAGUGGGAAACAAGUAAAAGUAUGUGUGCUAGAGGAGACAACAUUGGGGAGUUAAGUCUGUGCUUCUCGUAAUCAAUUUCCAUAUCUAAAGAAAAUGGAGUUUAUAAUCUUGCUUUUACUAACCUCGUUAACUACUUUGUGAACAAGUUUUUGAUAGACAAAUCUCAAACAUCCAGUGUUUGAUUUUAAGGCCUUUAAGUUUAUGUACUUUCCAUAUUAGGAUCAAUGUCAGAUCUUUAACAACUUUUUUAGAUUUGUAAGUACCUUGGUAUCUUUAGGCCUUCAAUUAUUAAUUUCAGCAAAAAGGUUGAGAAGGAGGAAUUUCUUGAAGAUACGGAGCUUUAUCGUGAUCCUACCACUACACUUCACUAGUAAUAUACUCUCUAAGAUUCUUUUAUUGACAUUGUUUGUUCAAUCCCUUCUUAACCUUCUAGGAUACGACUUUCCUCUUAUUAUACUAUUAAAACAUUUAAUCCUUGAUAUAAAAACAUUUUUAUAGGCCCGAAGUCAGUCCUACAUCAAAAUGCAGAUCUUCAGAAAUAAAUGUAAACCUCUGUUGUUUCAAAAAUUUAAUUCAUGUUAUUUUUCUUUUAAAUUUAUGGUGAUUUGCAGUUCAAGAGUAGUCGUUGGCAUUGUUAUGAUACUAUGAUAGCAGUGCAUGCAGCAAAAGAAAAACAAGUAGCCGGGUAACUAAGCUCCUUGAUUAGUUAUUUUAUUUUUUGUUUGCCUCUAGUCUAACUACAAUUGCCAAUUGUAUGCCCCAAAAUGGUUGCAAUGGUUACAUCUCGAGGGGAGACUUUCGUAGUGAACUUCAACAUUGAAUCCAUAAUCAGAUAGUUCGACUGUAAAGAUUUCCAGCAAAUCACCAUGAAAAUCCACCUUUAUUAAAAUCUUGGCAAAAUGGCCAUACUUUUUCUCUCUUAUUGCCUGAUGAAUUUGCAAAGAAAUGCCAACUUCUCUAGCCACCGUCAUCAGAAUUCUAGGAUGCCAGUACUCCACUCUGGGAUCAUAUGUUCUUAAGGACGUGACUGGAUAGUUGGCUCACAAAGGUUGAAAUUCCAUCACCAUUUGUAUAAGCGAAAGAACCCCUGAGGUAGUUUAUAAUAUUGGGGCAAGAGAAAACAUUUGGUGAAAACCAUCACCUAUAAACUCAGGAAUAUUCAUGUUGUAUUAUCAAGAAUCAAUAGCAUAAUUAUGCGGAAGCGUAUCUGAAUUCAUAACGCUUAAUUCCUCUCUAGAGUAGCGUGGUUGGCCUUUCAGAUCUACACGUUCUCCUAUAGAGUCCUUUAGUUCUCUCUACGCUCUCUCUCUAAUAAUGAGAUAUCAUAAAGAAUGGAAAGAAUACAUGUAACCUGAGGACCAUAACCACUUAUAUAGACAACUUAUUCCAGUUGUCACAUGAUAUUCAUAAUUCUGCCUAUCAUAGAAUUAGAAUAUUAUUGGGUCCUACACAUUAAGGCUCACACUAUAUUAGAUACAUUAAAGCUCAUAAUACCGAAAAUCUAAAUAGAUCACUUUUAAUUGAGCUUAACCUUAUACAACAGUCUGCAACACAUAAUUAUUCACAUAUAAGCCCAACGUUGGAUUAAGGAUCCAACAAUAUUGAAUUAAAAAAUCCAACAAUCUCCCACUUGGGCUAUAUGUGUAACCUUAUAAUUAUGUUUUGCAAAAAUAACCAUAUGAGCUCAACCUUACUGUCAUUAUAGAAAUAUAUAUAUAACUAAUCCGGUCCAUAAAUCAUACUAACGUAAGAUUACCCGUACCUCUAGCUUUUACACAAUAACUACAGAACAAUUAUAUUUCAACAUAAGUAUAAGAAAAGGUGCACGCAUAAGUACACAGAAUGGACUGUAGACCGUAAUAUCCGGAUUCAUAAGUACAAGAGGCAGAACUACAGAACAAUUAUAUUUCAACAUAGCAUCAUUAUCUAAGAAAAGGUGCACGCAUAAGCAUUAUACGAUGAAGCCUACUUGCUUAAUUUAUAAUGGAAGGAAAGCCAACCAUGAUGACUCGUCUGCCAUAAUGUUUAAUGUCAGAGAAAAAGAAAAAAUUAUUUUGCUAAUAUGCAUUCUUCUUAGUUCUAAGACUAUCUAUCAAGAAAAUUGACUUCAUUAAGAUCGUUGCCUUUCAAAGAAUUCAUCAACUGUACAAAAAGCAACUUCGAACAACCAUUAAAUGCUCUAUUGAAAAAUCAAUAUCAUAGGUCCGCACGUUUAAUAUUUUCAUUCCUGGCAACAGAGAAAAAGACUGCACCUCUCCCAGAGUCACGUCCUAAGAUAGUUGUCCAAAGCCAAUGCAGUUUCUACCACGUCUUAUGUCUCGACGAACAUGAGCUUAUACUGCAUUAUUUCCUGCAAGAAGAAGGCCAUCAGGUUUCCCUCCCAAGAAAACAUGAGCUUCUACUUAAAUGUGAAUUAAUUAUCAAGUUAUAACAGAGAAAAACAAAGAAAAGAUGCCAAAAUGUUUGAAGACAGACUGAUAAACUAAAAGGAGACGAGUGGCAAUUAUUUCAUCCAUGUACAAGUAACUGAGAAAAAAACAUACAAUCCCAUCAGGGACAACGGAGGCCAUCUCCACCAAGAGCUUUCCAUAAUUAAUUUAUAAACAUACAAUCUCAUCAGGCUUUAUGGCGAGUGAAGCUUCACGGCAGCUAAGCUGCAACCGAAAUGUCAAAUAAACAAAGAGAUCAAUGGAGAUUUUAGCAUAAAAAUUAACAGCUUGUGAAACAAAGAUGACAGCAUAACAAUAUGCACUAUUUUUACAUCAGAAGCCAUAGUAUUGCAUCAGCAGUGGAAGGCGACAACUAACUAAAGAAUGAUGAAACUCAUUUUUCAUAGCAAAAAUAAUGAUAUUGAAUCCAAGCACAAUAAAUAUUAUUAACUUCAGAUAAGCCAUCUAGCUAAAAUAGCAAAAUAAAUAUGUUAGCACUCUAAUAGCUCAAGAUACAGAGCUACCAAAGCACUGCCCAAGAUUUCUUGCUCACAAACUGCCUCAACUAUCAGCUUUAUGCCAGCUGAUAUACACUCCAGUUUACACAGAUUAAAAAGCCACGUGUAUAACGGCCUCAUAACAGAUUUGAUUCCCUUCUCACGUGCGUUUUCACGUGCUUUACUUAAACCAGCUUAAAACGAUCUUGGAUGAUGCCGUUUUAAACAGUAAGUUGAGCACAUGUUUAGCUCGUGACUUCUUGAGGCAUUUGAACCCAAUCUGAAACGCUUCCGUUUAACCCUUCAAGUUUUGUAUUCAGCAGAUUAAUCCACAAAAUCAAAUCUGGAAACCGAACGAAGGCCAUUCAAAUUUUUUCGGAAGACCUUAAAAUUGAACAUUCUGGAGGCAAAGGGAAGUAAAACACGUUCCAAAAUUUCGUACCUGUCUGUAAAACCUCCGUCAAAAUAUGAACAAAGUUUGCCCUGUAGCUUUUUCCAUCUUUUUUAUUUUUUACAAGACCAAAACUGGAUAACCGAGGGUCACCAUCCUGCGAUGAAAUGAAAAUUAAUUAAUGAACCUGUACAAUCAAAUGCAUAUGAACAUGCUGAAAAAUCAUAUGAAGCAGCCACAAGUUCCCUGACCUAUAUAUUUCUCCAGUAAUUAAAAUUAUUCUUAUAGAAGCAAUGAAAUGAUUAGCAGACUUUUACCUUUCAGUUUGCGUACAAGUCCCCUUACCCAUGUAGUCAUCCUCACUCUUUGCAUAAAUGUAUUGCAACUCCAGCAAUGACCCUAAUCUUGUAAGAACAGGAAUGUGUAGCAAUCGAUAGUCUGGUGAUUCACUGCCAGCUUAGCCAUUCUCAUUUCUCUGACCCUGUGGUUAUUUCUUAUGUUUAUGCUAGCUGCCUUAUGUCUAUUCGAGAGGAUCUAUGGGAUGCCGUAGUGACAUACUUUCAUAGCCAUGAUCGCCCUUGGAUUGUUGGUGGGGGACUUUAAUGUUGUUCAGUCUGUUUCGGAGAUUUCUGGUGGGCAUAACCAACCCUAGGGAGCUAUUGAUGCUUUCAACCUAACAUUGGUGGAUUGUGGGUUGGAGGAUGCUGGGUUCGUUGGUAGCCCAUAUACUUGGACUAAUGGACAUGCUUGGAGGCGGCUUGAUCAGGUGGUCUGUAAUGCUUGUUGGUCUGAUUUUUUCUCGUCGUUUCAGGUUACUCACCUGAACCGUACAGCUUCGGACUAUUCUCCUCUGCUCUUUUCCUGUGACAAGGGUGCGACUAAGGGACCUCCCAGAUUUAAAUUUUUGCAUACUUGGCUCAGACAUCCGGGUUUCUUUGAUGUUGUGACUCAGUCUUGGGAUUCUCCAGUGGUUGGUUUCGGGAUGCGGGCAUUCCAACAGAAGCUUGUCCGUCUGAAGAAUUGUUUGAAAGCUUGGAACAAGGAAGUGUUCGGCAAUGUCUUUUACAGAGUGAAAGAAGCUGAGAAGGACAUAGCUCGGAAGAAGAGGCAGUACGACCUUUCUGGUUCUGUGGAGGAUAGGGUUAUGUUUUCAGAGGCCAGGGCUCAUUUGCAGCAUGCCUUGUUGUGCGAGGAGAGUUUCUUGAGACAGCAGUUCAAUGUCCGAUGGGUCCGAGAGGGUGAUGCCAAUACCCGCUUUUUUCAUGCGAUAGUUCAUUUUUAUCAAUGUCCUUUUGAUCAGAAAUUCAUGAAGAUUUCAUCCAUUAGUUUUUUUGUGGCCCAUUUAGUAGUGGCUGCAUUCUGUUUGUUGAAAUGUCUUAGAGAAGCUUGCAAGUUGCAAUACUAACAAGCUUAAUGAGCUGGAGAUAAAGUGGCAGUGAGCUGGAGUUAAGCUGACAUGGAGCAUGAAUCAGCAUUGUCUUAAGAGCAAUCCAGAGUUAGUUAGAGAGAAAGUAAAAGCAGAGGAAGAAGACAAUGAUCAUGUGAUAUAUGUACAGUACAAUAGCAGUAGCCGUUAGAUCAAUUGAUUUACAACCAUUACACCAUAAGCUUGCUACCCCAGCUAUGCACUGAUGCAUUAAUAGAAAAGAAAGUGAAUGAAAAAGAUGUGCUGUGCUCAAUCAAUUAAUCCUUUUGCGUCUGCCACCAAAACUUAAGGUAGUUAGAAAUUUUUUAACUAGUCAAAAUACCAAUAUUUCCAAAAGCUUUAAGCUUAUGGGACAACCAGUUGCUCAACAUCGACCUUGAUAUCAGAACCAAUCCGGAUGAGGAGUCAGGUGUUCGAAUUCCAUCAUUCAAAAUUGCCUUAUAAUUCCCGCGCUUUCUUGGCAAGAAAAGGCAGUGGAGGCCUUUUAUUAACCAUAAGGGGUGGAUUAAUUGAUGGAUUAAAAUCUUUUGGCAGUCAUUAUUUUACUGGUUGGAAUUUCUUUAUGUUCUACUAUUAAUGAAUUUUCCUUGCCAUUUUUAAGUCUGUGAUAUAAGUGUUCAUAAUGGUGCGUUGUCGAUGUAGUUCUCUCCAGCGAAUCAUGUGUUGAUGCACAUAUUGAAAAAGAGGUAAAGAAUCUAAAUUUCCUGCUUCACAGUGUAGAUGAUAGAAUUUUUCAGUUUAAAACGUGAGGAGUUUUAGUUCACAUGCACUCUGUUUUCGUAGUAGUCUUAAGAUAUGUUGUCACUUGUCAGUGUUCUUGUAGUUCCCUUUUAAGACUACAUCUUGUCUAGUUGUCUUUGUACUCAAAAGUAUGUAGUUAGUGGCGAUAAAUGGAGUGCUUUUGUAUGUUACUUUUUAAUGAAUGAUGGAAAAAAUAAUUCAUAAGCAUCUUAGCAUAACAUUUUCACUCAAUUAAUGCAUAUCAACAACGGUUUACUGAUGCUCUAUAUGUGACUCAUUUCCAGGAAGCCUUUAUCAGGUAUGCUUAACUCAUUGAAAACUUAUUAUUUUUCAUGUUUGGGCCAUCACAACAUUGACAUUGUUGAUGCUGUUCGUGUCUUUCUCACUGUACAUAAGAAUGUAAACUCUUUUUGGAAGGUAUAAGAUCAAGAUUCUGUUUGAAAUCUUUACCAUCAGCUUGCUUUUCAUUUGGUGGAUACUACUAUCGAUAAUGUCAUUUUUGUCAUCACAAACAUAACGCCUACUCUUCAUCUGUACAAAUCACCAUAAAUUUAAAAGAAGAAUAGACAUUAAUAAAUUUUUGGAGCAACAAAAGUGUAUAUUAACUAAUCUUCAUAUUUUUAAUAAUAAAAAAUAAUUUUUGACCCUUAGCAGCUGCUUCAACUUGAAGUUGACCUUCCCAACAUUUCCAACUGACAUUUUGUCCAUCGAUUGUUACAUUCAUCCUCAAAGCAUGCACUGAAGAAGGGAGGCUCAUACUCCACUGGCUGCAAGCCUGCAACAAUUAAGCUCAGGGAUUAUUAAAAAAAAACCACAAUUAAUUAAUUCCAAAUACAAAUGUAGAAACUUAAUUAAGACAUCAGAUAUCAGUUCUAUAAGGGGGUAUCAUCACAUCAUCAUAGUAGAGCGGCUUCACUGAUACAUUACGCUGUAACAAAUUAGGAAUAAUAGAUAUCUCAUUAGUUGAUAAUAAUGUGCCAUAAAUAAUAUUCAAUCAUGUGAAAAUACUUGAAAAAUUAAUCUUCAAAGUGCAAACUGAGACUAUAGCGAGUAUCACUACAGGCAUUUCCAAACCCUUAUUAUAUCUCGGACGCUUUUGCAAUUUACUAAGCAAUUUAGCAGGUGAGGUGCUGAAUGUAUAGUACAGAUGUGACAAGUUAAAUAAAUACAGUCUACACAAAAAUAGAAAGAUAAAUGAAAUUUAAUUAUUGAUGUUGAUUAAAUUAAAUGAAACUGCAUAUAAAGGAAGACAUGUUCCAAUGUCUGUAUAAUCCUCUCAAUAAAUAUCUCAAGAGUAAGAACAUAAAAAAAAAAGAGAAAAUAGAUAUGAAAAUAAAGCCUUAAUUACAGGAAUAUUCUUCAAUCAAAGGCCCUUCAUUUUCAUAAAGAAUUUUCCACACCGAAAAAACGAACUACAUUGCAUGCCUACCGAAAAAUUAAAUAAAAAUUGUUUUUAAUUUCGAAUAGCGAGCCCAAAUUUUCUAUUUCCAGAAGAAAUCUUAUGCUGUUGAAAAGUUUCAUAUUAGGAAUCAUUUACUGCUAGUGUCAGUGAAGUCUCCUUAGUGAUCUGCGGUUUCUUCACUCGUGAUCUACCAGACUUGAAACGAUAAUCAUAUAAUGAGAUAAGUAUUAACUGUUAAUUGAACUGUAGAAUCUCAAAAAUGAGUAAACGGAUUACAAAUUAAUUAUGACGAGUUUGUGUAUCCCUUGGAUUAAAAUAUCAAGAUUUAUUAGGUCUAUAUAAUUAAUUUGAUAUUUUAAUAUCUUCAAUUUGGUAUAUCAGAAUAUUAAGAUUUAUUGGGUCUUUAUCAAGAGCCGUCGCCAAUUGAUCAUUUCAUGGGGUUUGAUACAGCCACAGAACUAAGAUAAAAUUUCAUAGGUAGACUAUUACGGUUACUCCACCAUAAAACAAACGAUAUUUUGAAAAGAAAAUUAAGACUCUGGUAGUUAAUUUGCCUCGUAAUUAAUUAUUGCGGACAAACCAUCACAAAAAUUUUUCAAUUAUUAUUUACUUUUCCAUUUUCUUUAAGGGUGAGACUACUUACAUUUUAAAAAUUACUUUGAAUAUUUUUUAUUUUGAUAAAUUACUUUAUUACAAAAAUACUUAUCAUAUGAAUUACUAAUAAAGACUGUAUCUUUUAUAAACUAAUAUAAUAUUAUUACUCUGAACACUCAUAUAGCAUAGUCAAUAUUCAAUAUAUAAUUUCUUGCUAUAAAUUCUAAAAAUCUCAACCACAAUCUCUUAGAGAAUGUUUAAUUAAACAAGGGGCAAGUCAAUACUUAAAAUAUAUUUAGAACAUUUUUUGCUUUUUAUUUUUUUUUAAAAGUAUGUUUUCGUAGUCUUUUCCUUCUUCUUUUUUUUAGGGGGGGGGGGGGGGGGGGGAAGGGGACUAAAUGGCCCUUUUGUUAGGUUAAAAAGUUGGGGUGUGAAAAUCAAUAUUGUACAUAUUCUUUAAUAGACAAAAACUAAUAAUUAAAAUUUAUGUUAAAGAAUUUGUUUAGAACAAAAUUUGAUUCUAUUGUUGUACAUACUAAAUUGUUAUUAAUUCAUUUUGUACAAAUGCUCGUUUAGUCCCUAUAUUUUAACUUUAGUGCUUAUUUAAUACCUAUAUUUUAAAAAACGCCUCAAGAUACCUAUACUAUUAAAUAUGUUGUACUCUUUUCCUUACUUUUUCUUAGCUUUUACAAUAAUACCCAACAAUAUUUUUUACAUUAAUUGUUUAAUCUAUAAAAAAAGUUACUUAGCAAAUUAACUAAUAAUUAAACAUCAAUAUCAAACAAGCGGUACUUUUUAUACCCUUACAAGAAUCUUGCUGAUCAUUAUUUAUAAAUAAAUUAAUAAUAGCCAAUUUAAAGUAAUGUUUAAUAUCCUUUCAACAACAUUACCAAUAAUGUUUUGUUAAAAAAUUAAUUUACUAAAUUAAUCCUAAAUAUAAAAUAAUAGCAACUAAUUUUUAUUUUACUUUUAUGGCUAAUUUAAUAAAUUUAUUUUUUUCAUUAAUAUCUUUAAGAAUAUUGUUGCAAAGAUAUUAUUAUAAAAGUGAAGAACAAGCUCAAUUAAAAUAAAUAAUGCAAGCUAGUACUAAAUACCUAUUAUAAUUUUAGAAUAGUUUAUUAAAAUAAAAAGGGAAAAGGACAUCUACACAUGCAUUAUUUAUUAUGCAUUACUAAAUACCUAUUUAUUAUACUGUUAAACUUGAGCCGUUCAUCCGUUAUCUAUACAUGCAUUAUUUAUUAUGGUACCUCAGCAUCAUUUUAUCUCCAAGUGCAAAUGCUGAAAAUUAAUUAAGAGGUAAGUAAGGCAUCAGUUAAAUUUGCACCCUACUACCCUGUACUUUUUAUCAAUCAAUACACCUGGUGAGUCCCUAAAAUUUGCACCCUAACAACAACAGCUAGCCACAAUUAGUCAUGAACACCAAAAAGUCCGCGCAGGAUGUGUAAAAUGGACAUGUCUAUGACAUCAUUUUUAUAACUAUAAAAGUAAUAAAAUAUUCUCCUAAAUAUAUUAACCAAUGCGAUUUUGAUUAUUAAAAAAUAUAAUUUCAUUAAAAAUUCAUCGGUCUUACUAAAAUAUGUAAGAAACACGUAAAGUAAUGCACAUAACUUUUUUUUAUUUUUUUAAAGGAGGGGUGCAACAUGAGGACUUCUCAAGAGGUCACUCAUCUUAGUACUGUUCUCGCCCAAGCAUGCUUAACUGCAGAGUUCUGAUGGGAUCCCGUGCAUUAGUGAUGGUAUGGUCGCACCCAAGCAAUGGACAUAACCUUAAUUUUUCAAAUGUUCUUCAUUUUUUUUUAAUCCUUUUGGAUAUCGUGAGAUCUUUAAUAAGGUGGGAAUCAGAGGGGGCCAAGUUCGUUUGGACAGUCCUUCAAAAUAUACUUUUAACUAGUCAAGAAAAAGAUUAGGAGUUGUAAUAUUAACGAAAUUUUAGUAUUGAUAAAUAUGUACGACAGAUUAUUAAUACUAAAUUGAACUUAAAAUGUAUUUAUUAUUACUUUGAUUUUAUUAUAAUUCUAUUUAUUAUAAAACAAUAAACUGAAAUCAAUUUUUGUUCAGAGUCCAACAAUAAAAUAAUCGAAAGGGCCAUUUCCGAGACUAUUUUUUAAACAUUAAGGUCUAUGUCCAUAAUUAAAUAAAUUAUGGAAUAUAAAUAUCCUUUUCCUUCAUAAUUACCGCCAAAUUACUCCCAAUCUCCACGCGCAUUAAAUUUGGUUGGUAUGCUUUGAUCGUCGGUUCGUCUUCAUGUUUACAAUUAUUUACUUUUUGGACCACGUUUGGCACAUGCCGAAAUUGAAUCUUAGCCCUUAAUCUUACCGACUAAUUGUACGAUAAAACUUGAACCGUUGAUGCCUUAUCUAUACUUUGCAACGUCACAAUCACCCCCGUUUGGCACAUGCCGAAAUUGAAUCUUAGCCCUUAAUCUUGCCGGCUAAUUGUACUAGAGAACUUGAACCGUUGAUGCCUUAUCUAUACUCUGCAACGUCACAACUACCCACUUUGGCACCGUAGGCGACUUGAUCUCUAUAUAUCAUGCCAAAUCAGAAGCAAGAACUCGCUCAAGUACUUAUUUUUUAAUAUAGUGCACUCGAAGCUAGCAAAGAUCUUUUCUGACUUGAAGAAUAUGAAAACUCUUGCUGGCGCAGGUAUUUAGGCCUACUUCAGUUUCUUUUUUGAGAAGGGCCAACUUCAGUUGAAUAUCAUUUAUAAUUCUUUUUUUAAUAUAUGCAUUUAUGAAUAUAUUUUUCAAUAUAAAAUUUUUAGGUAUGAGCGAUCCGUCAGAAGGUUUGGUACUCCCUUCCAGUAUUGCUGAUGAUGAUGUUGGAAAUGACAAUCUUGAUCUUAUUGUUAUUCCUCAAUAUGGGAGAAAUCCUGAUUAUUAUGGGUAAGUGUCUGCAAUCUGGAUGAUGAUAUAUGUAAUUAAAUAAAAGGAUGGGUACAGUUAUUACCUAUCAAUCAUAAGAGUGUCAAUUUAGUUCAGUUCACUAAUAAAAAUCUCUUAUACAAGAGAUUAUCUUUGUUUGCGUUCAUGUACUUUGUCUUCUUUAAUUAAUAAAUAAAAUUAUU
rnacentral:lncRNA from 1 species